rnacentral:rRNA from 1 species
UACGUAGGGGCCUAGCGUUGUCCGGAAUUAUUGGGCGUAAAGAGCUCGUAGGUGGUUCGGCAAGUCGGAUGUGAAAUCUCCACGCUUAACGUGGAGGGGCCAUUCGAAACUGCUGUGACUUGAGUCCGGUAGGGGAGUGUGGAAUUCCCGGUGUAGCGGUGAAAUGCGCAGAUAUCGGGAGGAACACCAGUAGCGAAGGCGGGUCUCUGGACAGUUCCUGACGCUGAGGCACGAAGGCCAGGGGAGCAAACGGG